rnacentral:piRNA from 1 species
CGACUCAUUAAAGUGACCAAUUAGGUGAC